UACGAAGGGGACUAGCGUUGUUCGGAAUCACUGGGCGUAAAGCGCACGUAGGCGGCUUCGUAAGUCAGGGGUGAAAUCCCGGGGCUCAACCUCGGAACUGCCUUUGAUACUGCGGGUCUUGAGUCCGAUAGAGGUGGGUGGAAUUCCUAGUGUAGAGGUGAAAUUCGUAGAUAUUAGGAAGAACACCAGUGGCGAAGGCGGCUCACUGGUCCGGUACUGACGCUGAGGUGCGAAAGCGUGGGGAGCAAACAGG
rnacentral:rRNA from 1 species